rnacentral:misc_RNA from 1 species
AAGUAGAAUUUUGUUAUUUUGGUACUGCACUACUUACCUUCUCCUUGAAAAAAACAAGCCCAAAUACCAAAGGCUUGAGCCACCACCUCUUGAACAAAUCCAACAACAGCUACAGGUUGAGCCCUUGGAACCUGACCAAGUCAAACAACUUAAUCAUUCACUGAAGCAAGAUGAAUCAAACCAGCAGCUUGAAAUCCGACCAUUUAUCUUGGAAGGUGCUAAGUAAAGGAGAUCAUUUCUUUUGCAAUAAAGGAGGUUCUCAUGCCUUUUCUAGCUGCUAUUGUAGAACUUGACAACAAUAAGUUGAUUUACGUAUAUCUCAAACUCAAGCAGCUAAGAAAUCUCUCAUGUAGAAUGUUGCAAUCGAGUCCUAACGCCAUCGAAAUAUGUCAUCUUUCAGUAUAAUUGAAUGUGUGUCACGCUUCUUUUGUGCAGCAUGAUGAACCAUUCUCAUUGAUAUCAAAGUUUCAGUCAUUUUAAAUUUUCAAUGCAUUGACACAUUGCCUCUUUUUUCUUUUAUGAAACACAAGGGUCAUCAUUGUAAAGUUGUCUCACCUGAAUGGAAUUUCACCAUUUCAACCAACUUUGAUAACAAGUUGUAGUUUUGUACCAUGGGAGAAGUUAACGGCGCGAAUGUAGCUUACAACUUAUGCUUGAUUUCCUUAUGACGCUUUCAACAGAAUAUUUUUCAUGCAGAGAGAGCUUUGUUAUACCAAUUCAACUGGCAUCAUCAAGUUCAGUCAUUUUCACUUUUGACUUUUGCAAUGAGAACA